UGUAUUUUUGUGUAUCUGUGUAUAUGAGUGUGAAUACUCUCCUCGCAGGCAAACUUGCGUCCGCUAGUUUGUACUAACCAGCGCCCGUUUGCGUGGCGACUUUAUUUUAUUGGCCCAUGCACUCCAUUCCGCCUGAGCGCCAUUUUCAUGAACUUGCCAGACGCCACAGUUCUGAAGCCACGCCAUUCGCGGCAACGAAACUCUCUGGGAGUCCCCCAAAUGUGUGAAAACGACGAAGACGACGAAGACGACGAAAACGAAAAUAUUCCACCUCCAUUCAGAAUGCUUGUUUGUAUUACUCGAACACGUACGUAACCUGCUCGACAGAAGGAAG
rnacentral:lncRNA from 1 species